UUCCGCUUGAUCCUGCCGGACCCGACUGCUAUCAGGGUGGGACUAAGCCAUGCGAGUCAACGCCGCAAGGCGUGGCAUACGGCUCAGUAACACGUAGUCAACAUGCCCAGGGGACGUGGAUAACCUCGGGAAACUGAGGAUAAACCGCGAUAGGCCAAGGUUUCUGGAAUGGACCAUGGUUGAAAUCUAUACGGCCCCUGGAUUGGACUGCGGCCGAUCAGGCUGUUGGUGAGGUAAUGGCCCACCAAACCUGUAACCGGUGCGGGCUUUGAGAGAAGGAGCCCGGAGAUGGGCACUGAGACAAGGGCCCAGGCCCUAUGGGGCGCAGCAGGCGCGAAACCUCUGCAAUAGGCGAAAGCUUGACAGGGUUACUCUGAGUGAUGCCCGCUAAGGGCAUCUUUUGGCACCUCUAAAAAUGGUGCAGAAUAAGGGGUGGGCAAGUCUGGUGUCAGCCGCCGCGGUAAUACCAGCACCCCGAGUGGUCGGGACGAUUAUUGGGCCUAAAGCAUCCGUAGCCGGUACUGCAAGUCUUCCGUUAAAUCCACCUGCUCAACAGAUGGGCUGCGGGGGAUACUACAGGGCUAGGAGGCGGGAGAGGCAAACGGUACUCAGUGGGUAGGGGUAAAAUCCACUGAUCCACUGAAGACCACCAGUGGCGAAGGCGGUUUGCCAGAACGCGCUCGACGGUGAGGGGAUGAAAGCUGGGGGGAGCAAACCGGAUUAGAUACCCGGGUAGUCCCAGCUGUAAACGAUGCAGCUCGGGGUGAGAUGGGGUUGGCCUUGAAGCCAACCCAAGUGCCGCAGGGAAGCUCGUUUAAGUCUGCCGCCCUGGGGAGUACGG
rnacentral:rRNA from 1 species